UACAGAGGGUGCAAGCGUUAAUCGGAAUUACUGGGCGUAAAGCGUGCGUAGACGGUUACAUAAGUCGGGUGUGAAAGCCCCGGGCUCAACCUGGGAAUUGCAUUCGAGACUGCGUAGCUAGGGUGCGGAAGAGGGAAGCGGAAUUUCCGGUGUAGCGGUGAAAUGCGUAGAUAUCAGGAGGAACACCUGUGGCGAAAGCGGCUCACUGGACCAUAACUGACGCUGAUGCACGAAAGCUAGGGGAGCAAACAGG
rnacentral:rRNA from 1 species